GGAUGUGAGGGCGAUCUGGCUGCGAUAUCUGUCACCCCAUUGAUUGCCAGGGCUGAUUCAGCUGGUCUGGUUAGCUAGGCGGAUGUCCCCUUCCUCCCUCACAGCUCCAUGUACAUCCUUCCCCAAGCUGCGUGCUCCCUCAAAAAGGACACCACCCCAACAGAGGUGGUUGGUUUCCUCGGUCAAGGGUAUAGGAGUAGCUGCACUCCCCUGCUAGGACCUCCAAACAAGCUCUCAAGAUUGAAGCCAGGAAUUUGCACUAAGCUAUAUCCCUAGCCCCUUUUUUAAUUUUUAAUUUUGAAGCAGUGUCUUCCUAGAUUGCUUA
rfam:Heterocephalus glaber contig129225, whole genome shotgun sequence.